rnacentral:rRNA from 1 species
AUUGAACGCUGGCGGCAGGCCUAACACAUGCAAGUCGAGCGGGGUUUUCGGACCUAGCGGCGGACGGGUGAGUAAUGCGUAGGAAGCUGCCCGAUAGAGGGGGAUACCAGUUGGAAACGACUGUUAACACCGCAUAAUGUCUACGGACCAAAGUGUGGGACCUUCGGGCCACAUGCAAUCGGAUGCGCCUACGUGGGAUUAGCUAGUUGGUGAGGUAAUGGCUCACCAAGGCGACGAUCUCUAGCUGGUUUGAGAGGAUGAUCAGCCACACUGGAACUGAGACACGGUCCAGACUCCUACGCGAGGCAGCAGUGGGGAAUAUUGGACAAUGGGCGCAAGCCUGAUCCAGCCAUGCCGCGUGUGUGAAGAAGGCCUUCGGGUUGUAAAGCACUUUCAGCGAGGAGGAAGGGGUGUGUGUUAAUAGUACACACCUUUGACGUUACUCGCAGAAGAAGCACCGGCUAACUCUGUGCCAGCCGCCGCGGUAAGAC